UACGUAGGGCGCAAGCGUUGUCCGGAAUUAUUGGGCGUAAAGAGCUCGUAGGCGGCUUGUCACGUCGGGUGUGAAAGACCGGGGCUUAACCCCGGUUCUGCAUUCGAUACGGGCUGGCUAGAGUGUGGUAGGGGAGAUCGGAAUUCCUGGUGUAGCGGUGAAAUGCGCAGAUAUCAGGAGGAACACCGAUGGCGAAGGCAGCUCGCUGGGACGGUACUGACGCUGAGGCGCGAAAGCGUGGGGAGCGAACAGG
rnacentral:rRNA from 1 species